rnacentral:rRNA from 1 species
GUGGUAUAAGAUGGGCCCGCGUCUGAUUAGCUAGUUGGUGAGGUAACGGCUCACCAAGGCAACGAUCAGUAGCCGACCUGAGAGGGUGACCGGCCACAUUGGGACUGAGACACGGCCCAAACUCCUACGGGAGGCAGCAGUGGGGAAUAUUGCACAAUGGGGGAAACCCUGAUGCAGCGACGCCGCGUGAGCGAUGAAGUAUUUCGGUAUGUAAAGCUCUAUCAGCAGGGAAGAAAAUGACGGUACCUGACUAAGAAGCCCCGGCUAACUACGUGCCAGCAGCCGCGGUAAUACGUAGGGGGCAAGCGUUAUCCGGAUUUACUGGGUGUAAAGGGAGCGUAGACGGCGAUGCAAGCCAGAUGUGAAAGCCCGGGGCUCAACCCCGGGACUGCAUUUGGAACUGUAUAGCUGGAGUGUCGGAGAGGCAGGCGGAAUUCCUAGUGUAGCGGUGAAAUGCGUAGAUAUUGGGAGGAACACCAGUGGCGAAGGCGGCCUGCUGGACGAUGACUGACGUUGAGGCUCGAAAGCGUGGGGAGCAAACAGGAUUAGAUACCCUGGUAGUCCACGCCGUAAACGAUGACUACUAGGUGUCGGGCAGCAAAGCUGUUCG